rnacentral:tRNA from 1 species
GCCCUUAUAGCUCAGUUGGCAGAGCACAUCCAUGGUAAGGAUGAGGUCAUCAGUUCGAUUCUGAUUGAGGGCU